GCUUGUCUCAAAGAUUAAGCCAUGCAUGUCUUAGUGUAAAUAACUCUUAUGAAACUGCGAAUGGCUCAUUAAAUCAGUUAUCAAAUACGUGAUGGUCGCCUACUACAUGGAUAACCGUAGUAAUUCUAGAGCUAAUACAUGCGUAAAAUCCCGACUCACGAAGGGAUGUAUUUAUUAGAUAAAAAACCGAUGCCUUCGGGCUUUGUGUUGACUCAUAGUAACUGUUCGAAUCUCACGCGCAAGCAGGAGAUAGUUCAUUCAAAUUUCUGCCCUAUCAGCUUUCGACGGUAGUGUAGUGGACUACCGUGGCCGUAACGGGUGACGGAGAAUUAGGGUUCGAUUCCGGAGAGGGAGCCUGAGAAACGGCUACCACAUCCAAGGAAGGCAGCAGG
rnacentral:rRNA from 1 species